UCGGGAAUUUUGGGCAAUGGGCGAAAGCCUGACCCAGCAACGCCGCGUGAAGGAUGAAAUCCCUCGGGAUGUAAACUUCGCAAGAACGGGAAGAAUAAGUAAGAGCUAACAUCUCUUAUGAUGACGGUACUGUUUGUAAGCUCCGGCUAACUCCGUGCCAGCAGCCGCGGUAAUACGGGGGGAGCAAGCGUUGUUCGGAUUUACUGGGCGUAAAGGGCGCGUAGGCGGCCACCGCAAGUCGACUGUGAAAUCUCCGGGCUUAACUCGGAAAGGUCAGCCGAUACUGCGGGGCUAGAGUGCAGAAGGGGCAACUGGAAUUCUCGGUGUAGCGGUGAAAUGCGUAGAUAUCGAGAGGAACACCUGCGGCGAAGGCGGGUUGCUGGGCUGACACUGACGCUGAGGCGCGAAAGCUAGGGGGAGCGGAACGGGAUUAGAUACCCCGGUAGUCCACGCCGUAAACGAUGAUAACUAGCUGUCCGGGUUCACG
rnacentral:rRNA from 1 species